UUGCGGUUAAAAAGCUCGUAGUUGGAUUUCUGUUGAGGAUGACCGGUCCGCUCUUUGAGCGCGUAUCUGGUUCAGCCUUGGCAUCCUCUUGGGGAACGCUACUGUGCUUGAUUGCAUGGGGCGGUAUUCAAGACUUUUACUUUGAGGAAAUUAGAGUGUUCACUGCAAGCGUUAGCAAUUGAAUACAUUAGCAUGGAAUAAUAAUAUAGGACCUUGGUACUAUUUUGUUGGUUUCUAGAACUAAGGUAAUGAUUAAUAGGGACAAUUGGGGGCAUUCGUAUUAACGCGUCAGAGGUGGAAUUCUUAGAUUGCGUUACGACGAACUACUGCGAAAGCAUUUGCCAAGGAUGUUUUCAUUGAUCAAGAACGAAAGUAUGGGGAUCGAAGACGCUUAGAUACCGUCGUAGUCUAUACCAUAAACUAUGCCAACUAGAGAUUGGAGGUCGUUCUCUUUAUGACUCCUUCAGCACCUUAUGAGAAAUCAAAGUCUUUGGGUUCCGGGGGGAGUAUGGUC
rnacentral:rRNA from 1 species